CGCGUAGGUGGUAGUGCAAGUCUGAGGUGGAAUCUUAGGGCUUAACCCUAAAAUUGCCUUGGAAACUGCAUUACUUGAGUCAGUGAGGGGAGGGUAGAAUUCCUGGUGUAGCGGUGAAAUGCGUAGAUAUCAGGAGGAAGGCCGGUGGCGAAGGCGGCCCUCUGGCGCUGAACUGACACUGAGGCGCGAAAGCGUGGGGAGCAAACAGGAUUAGAUACCCUGGUAGUCCACGCCCUAAACGGUGGGUACUAGGUGUAGGGCUCGUAAGGGUUCUGUGCCGAAGCGAAAGCAUUAAGUACCCCCGCCUGGGGAGUACGGCCGCAAGGUUGAA
rnacentral:rRNA from 1 species